CUGACCCAGCCAGCUCUUUGCUCUUCAGGAGCCAGCUAGGUCCCUGUCCUCCAGUCCCUCCCAGCUGCCCCCAGACUCCCCAGACUGUAUCCUCUGUGCCUCCUCUGUUCUCCCCAAGCCCCGUGCUUAGUCAUAAAAGGACUCUGGACACUGCCGGCUGAUUGCUACCUGUCUGUUUCCUGUUGUAACUCACAAGCAACUUGGGGCUACGGUUGGAUUUUAUUCUGCUUCCUGUUCCAGCGUGCACUUUGGGCCUGAAAUGUCGUAGAUGCUCAGGAAAGAAGGGGCCCAGACCUCCUGCACUGCGGUCACUGCCUUCGGAACCCCUCUCUGCUUGCCUUCUGACCGGAAUCUUCUGUUACCAUGGACAGCCCCAUGCUGACAGCUGCCUUCCCGGACACAAGUGUCUCAUCCAGCCGCCCCGAAUUGUGAUCACCUUGGGGCAUGCACUGUGUCCUUGGACACACCUGGUACAAUGCCUGGCACAGACAAGAAACUCUACUAGUGCACCUUUCAAACUGGUCAAGAUCCACUACCCUGAUUUUCUGACCUGUGAAUACACUGUGAACCCGGGUGUGUGAAGAUGUUUGAGAUGCUUGCGGUGGAUCUGAAGGAAGACUGGGAAGUUUUCUGAUGGAUAAAAGGAGGAAUAAAGUAUUUCAUGAAGGACAAGACUGUGCCAGUCCCCAAAGUAUGAACAGCAUGGAGGUCUAGGUAAAGGGUACUCCAAGUUGUUUGACAGUGCCCAGGUGUGAGGUAGGCUGAGCAGUUGGUGAGGCAUGGGACUGGGAGACUGGCAAAGACCAGACCAUAACAGGAUUUGAAUACCAUGCACAUGGGCUCUGUCAUGAGGAUGAGGGGAGCUAUGGAGGGGUUGAGCAGGAGAGGGACACAGACUGUUAGAAAGAUCACUCUAGCUCUAGGGUGAAGGGCUACCUGGAUAGGGAGGCGAGGAGAAUGUAUGAUCAAUAGAUAUAACUAGUAGGCAUCAGAGCUAUAACUGAUUCGGUAUAAUCAUUAGGGUGAGGUGGCUUUUUCCCUGCACAGAGCCACUCCUGCUAUUCACCAUGUGUGUCGUGGAGCUGUCGCUACCCGGAGAAGACAUCUUUAUCUAAUUCACCCAGACACUUUAGAGGCAAAUGGUGGCCCUGGUGGGAGAUAGUCAAGAGGGGUGGAGACAGAGCUAAACUAAGACAGUGGCUUUUGAGAAAGAGAUGAGGGGAAAAGAUAUGAGAUAUAGUGGAGCAAAAUCAUCUGAUCUCGGUGAUCAACCUGAUAUCAGGGCUGAGGGAGAGUGAGGAGAUGGGAUGAUGCUCAGGUUACUGAUUUAGCUCAAGCAGAUUACUCUUUAAAUCCUGUUUCAAUUGAACAGCAGGUGUAGCUGAAUUUUUCCCGCAAAGGUCCUGAUAGAAAAUAUUUUAGAUUUUGCAAGGCUUACAGUCUCUAUGAUAAUUACUCAAUUCUGCCAUUAUAAUUCAAAAGCAGCCACAGACAAGAUGUAAAUGAAUGGGCAUGGCUGUGUUCCAAUAAAACUUUAUUUACAAAAA